GACGAACGCUGGCGGCGUGCUUAACACAUGCAAGUCGAACGGAAAGGCCCUGCUUUUGUGGGGUGCUCGAGUGGCGAACGGGUGAGUAACACGUGAGUAACCUGCCCUUGACUUUGGGAUAACUUCAGGAAACUGGGGCUAAUACCGGAUAGGAGCUCCUGCUGCAUGGUGGGGGUUGGAAAGUUUCGGCGGUUGGGGAUGGACUCGCGGCUUAUCAGCUUGUUGGUGGGGUAGUGGCUUACCAAGGCUUUGACGGGUAGCCGGCCUGAGAGGGUGACCGGCCACAUUGGGACUGAGAUACGGCCCAGACUCCUACGGGGGGCAGCAGUGGGGAAUAUUGCACAAUGGGCGGAAGCCUGAUGCAGCAACGCCGCGUGCGGGAUGACGGCCUUCGGGUUGUAAACCGCUUUCGCCUGUGACGAAGCGUGAGUGACGGUAAUGUGUAAAGAAGCACCGGCUAACUACGUG
rnacentral:rRNA from 1 species